rnacentral:sRNA from 1 species
UACAAAUACGUUCGAAGGUCUUCCUCUUGU